AUACGGAAGGUCCGGGCGUUAUCCGGAUUUAUUGGGUUUAAAGGGAGCGCAGGCGGAGAUGCAAGCGUGACGUCAAAUUUCGGGGCUCAACCCCGUCUCGCGUCGCGAACUGCGUCCCUUGGUUGCGGGAAGGGGAGGCGGAACUCGUGGUGUAGCGGUGAAAUGCAUAGAUAUCACGAAGAACUCCGAUCGCGAAGGCAGCCUUCCGGCCCGUCAACGACGCUCAUGCUCGGAGGUGCGGGUAUCAAACAGGAUUAGAUACCCUGGUAGUCCGUACAGUAAACGAUGGACACCCGCGGUUUGGCCUAUAUGGCUGAGCCGCCAAGCGAAAGCGUUAAGUGUCCCACCUGGGGAGUACGCCGGCAACGGUGAAACUCAAAUGAAUUGACGGGG
rnacentral:rRNA from 1 species